UACGGAGGAUGCAAGCGUUAUCCGGAAUGAUUGGGCGUAAAGCGUCCGCAGGUGGCAAUGUAAGUCUGCUGUCAAAGCGUCUGGCUCAACCAGAUAAAGGCAGUGGAAACUACAUAGCUAGAGUAAGGUAGGGGUAGAGGGAAUUCCUGGUGUAGCGGUGAAAUGCGUAGAGAUCAGGAAGAACACCGGCAGCGAAGGCGGCGCUCUGGGCUGGAACUGACGCUGAGGAGCGAAAGCGUGGGUAGCAAACAGG
rnacentral:rRNA from 1 species